AUUUAAUAAUACAUGCCAUGCAAGAGCUCAGGUCUUAGGAGGUUAAAGCUGUUUAGCAGAUCUUUAAGCUGAAGAUUUCCUAACAUUCAUUCCUUUUGCAGUUAGAAGCAGUGGAGCUGUAGAAUUGAAGACAGAAUACCAGUUGGUGUGUAUGUUGCUGUGUGUGAGGCUAUUCCUCAUAGAAGACUGGACUGCAUUUAAGACUCCCGAGUCCUAGAGUCACCUUUCCCACGUGCUGUUCCUAUAGGCGGAACCUGGGAAGGCUGAUACGUACCGGGCCCCUGGUUUCAAAAACACGCUAUCCGUUAACACCGCAAGGUGGAACUAGCAUGCCCAGGAAGCAGAAGAGUUCUCCGUUGAUUCUCUGGUCUGUGUUGAAUGCUAGAAGUCUGCAAAUAAACUGACUCACCUUAGCUACCAUGUGCAGAGUGAAUUGCACACCAGCAGAUCUCCACCAGGUUGUUGCAGGCUCCCAUGUUCUAGUGUCAGCCAUCAUCCCAAGGAAGGAGAACCUGGACCAGCCACAACAAACUGCUGCCUUCCAGGUCUCCACACACUUCAUGGGAUUCAAACCAUCACCCCUAAAAUGAGAGCAAAGAGCCAUUCUAGUGCCAUCAUACACCGCAAGACCUCUAGAAUGCUCAGCUUAUAUAGUCCAAGAAGAGAAGACUUACCCAAAGCUGCCACCAUUGGAUCAAACUUAGCAGGCAGCAGUUCAACAAUACACACCUCAUUCUGACUCAUGGUGCUGAUUUUCUACAUGUUUGCUAUCUCAUUCUAAUCCAUCCAGUUUGACAGAGGAGCUCAUGCUAAUCACAAUAGUGUAUGGUUUGUUAGGGAUUGCAACAAAAUCAGCUGAACUAGAAGCUGAAAUCUGCACCCCCACCAUGCAAUGCAUUCUGGGUAAUGCUGAUGGCAAUUUUAAAGUCCAUUUCUGAUGUUCAUAACAGCAUUAACAUAUAUGUCUGGCAUAGCAGAAGCUCAGAGAUGAGAUUGAGAUUCAGACUUAGAAAGAGUUAGAAGAAAAAUAAAAUGAAAUGAAAAAGCAGACUUUCACAACUAAAUCUUAAUCUUCAGUUGCAUUCCUGCAAAAGUUCUUCAUCCAACAGAAGCUCAGAUAUUAGAUUUUAAAGCUGAACUGUGAUUUCUUUCCAAAGAAGUGAAUUUAAAUAGAAGUAAAAGGAAAAAAUAAUUUUUUAAAUGACUUUUAAAGCCAAUUCCUCCUGGGCAGAGCACAAGGCAAAAUCCUUCAUCCAAUAGAAACUCAUGAGAUUUUAAAGCUGAGCUGUGAUUUUUGUCUUCAAAACAGAGCGUGAAGACAAAUAAACGAAAUAAAAUAUGGUUAACACUCAGGGAUGAACCCAGUGUUUCCAGAAAGCAGGAGAUUGAACUGGACCUUCAGCUCAACCGUCUGCUGCCAGUUUGAUUGUUAAUUGUGUUUAUUUCUAUUUGAAUGUUCAGUCUAUGCAGCUACAAUGAAUUAGUAACACAGAUGCUUUUUAUUUGUUCUCCAAUGACAAACUGUGGCAGCAGCUGAGCAUAAAGUGAAAGACAGCGAGGCCAAUUCAAACGUCACUAUGACGACGCCAUUGAGGAACAAAGAUGAAUCUCUGAGGCGAAUGUUGUACAGGGGAAAAUACGAUUGUGUUUUUAUUUUUACUUUUGUUGUGCUUUGCAUGCUUGGGGUUUGUCUUUUCUUUUUUCCCCUUUAACAAUCCAAACGCACUGGACUGAAGGUGCUUGUCUAGGGAGGCGGAGCGCACUAAUUGGCCGCCGAUACAGGUGUCAGCAGAGGCUAAUUAAAGCCAAAAUAAAAGGAGCCUGGAUGGAAUGGGGGGAGAAGGAAAACAACCAGUUUCUGUAGGCUACAGAAACUGACACGCUGCGGAACGAGGGGAAGACGGAACCUGCACGUCAGGCGCAGAAGACCGGGAGUUGAACAAACGGUCCAGUACAGAGGAUUAGGGCAGAGGGGAACCUCUGCCCGCGCCACUGGAUCGGGCGGAAGAGGGGCGUUACAUGCAGAAGAGUGGAGCGGUGCUGAAGCGUCGCGCAGCCAGCUGUGGAUCGGCAACAGAGUGCGCUGCAGACGGAUUACCUCCACCAGAAGCAACCUAAGAAGCAGAGCCCAGCCCGUGGCCUCGGAUUGGUGACUUUAAUUAAGGACAAUUACUGAGCCCUGGAUUUUAUUGAGAAAUAGAGGACGGUUUUAUUGUGUAACUAUUUGUGACUUUUUUGGUAAUAAAAUACCUUGCGCCUGA